rnacentral:rRNA from 1 species
UACGUAGGGUGCAAGCGUUGUCCGGAAUUAUUGGGCGUAAAGAGCUCGUAGGCGGUCUGUCGCGUCGGCUGUGAAACCCGGAGCUCAACUCCGGGCCUGCAGUCGAUACGGGCAGACUGGAGUUCGGCAGGGGAGACUGGAAUUCCUGGUGUAGCGGUGAAAUGCGUAGAUAUCAGGAGGAACACCGAUGGCGAAGGCAGGUCUCUGGGCUGACACUGACGCUCAUGCACGAAAGCGUGGGAGC